rfam:Gossypium hirsutum cultivar TM-1 chromosome 9, whole genome shotgun sequence
AGACCAUGAUGAGGGCAUCUCUAUACAAGUAACUUAUAUUGCUCCCAAGCUUCAUAAAAGUUCUCUCCUUCCAUCUGUUUGAAAUUGGUAAUAUCACUUCUCAGUUG